rnacentral:rRNA from 1 species
AGUAAGUCGGAUGUGAAAGCCCCGUGCUCAACGCGGGGAAGCCAUUCGAUACUGCGUGAUUAGAGAACGGCAGAGGGAAACGGAAUUUCUGGUGUAGCGGUAAAAUGCGCAGAGAUCAGAAAGAACACCGAUGGCGAAGGCAGUUUCCUAGGCCGCAUCUGACGCUGAGAGGCGAAAGCUAGGGGAGCAAACAGGAUUAGAGACCCUGGUAGUCCUAGCUGUAAACGAUGGAUGCUAGGUGUGGGCCGGAAAGGUCCGUGCCGUAGUUAACGCGAUAAGCAUCCCGCCUGGGGAGUACGGCCGCAAGGCUAAAACUCAAACGAAUUGACGGGGACCCGCACAAGCAGCGGAGCGUGUGGUUUAAUUCGAUGCUACACGCAGAACCUUACCUGGGCUUGACAUGUAGGUGGUAGUGAAGUGAAAGCGGAGCGACCCUUCGGGGAGCCUACACAGGUGCUGCAUGGCUGUCGUCAGCUCGUGCCGUGAGGUGUCGGGUUAAGUCCCGUAACGAGCGCAACCCUUGUCCUUAGUUACAAGUGUCUAAGGAGACUGCCGGUGACAAACCGGAGGAAGGUGGGGAUGACGUCAAGUCAGCAUGGCCCUUAUGUCCAGGGCGACACACACGCUACAAUGGUCGGUACAAUGGGCAGCGCAGCCGCGAGGUGAAGCGAA